AGAUGCUGCGCCUCUCUCUGGAGACACUCCCCUCGCUCUUCCUGUCCCUCACACAAAAGACGCUAGGCUAGGGAUAAGUCUUACUCUCUCUCCCUCCUUCUCUCGUUCCCUCUCUCUCUCUCUCUCUCUCUGUCUUUCACUCUAUCCCUCUCCUUCUCCUCCCCCAUUUUUAACUGGCACCAAAGCAACAACGUUUUCCCUCUGACAUGAAAUCAACCAACUUCAGACCUGUCCCUCUUGAUAUGAAGCACAUGGCAGGUGUCUUCUUAUUUGUCUUGUGUCCAGAAGAAAGAAAGCGGUCUUCCCACUAGCUUAUAAUACACAGCAAUCACACACAUUCAUGCAUCAACAGCCGCAUACAAGCUAACACAUACAAGCCCAGAUAGACAAACAUGCUCUAAACAAACCGUUAGCAUCACCACACACACACGCACACACACACACACGCACACACACACACACACACAAAAACACAUGUACAGACACAGUCUCUACACAGACACAUUUCGUUACAUAUUAUGCUGGUUGGUUUGUUUUGGAGCGAUGGUUUUUGGGGAUGGCUGGCCCGGGUUUACUGGACUCCCAGGCUGUAUGUUAUAUGGAGAACAGCUGCUGGUACACUGGAACACACCAGUCUAUUAAACAGUACUACCAGUGGUUCCAGUCCAGGGGGGACUACAUGCGUGACCACAGCCCUAUACCUGCUGUGAGUGGGGUCGGUGUGAGUGGGGUCAGUGUGAGUGGGGUCGGUGUGAGUGGGGUUGGUGUGAGUGGGGUCGGUGUGAGUGGGGUCGGUGUGAGUGGGGUCGGUGAGAGUGGGGUCGGUGAGAGUGGGGUCGGUAUGAGUGGGGUCGGUGUGAGUGGGGUCGGUGUGAGGGGUCGGUGUGAGUGGGGUCGGUGUGAGUGGGGUCGGUGUGAGUGGGGUCGGUGAGAGUGGGGUCGGUGUGAGUGGGGUCGGUGUGAGUGGGGUCGGUGUGAGUGGGACCGUGAACGCAUUUGAUUAAUAAUGUCUACAGUGUAUCUACUCACACUGAUUUACUCACAUUGCACACCCUGGGACAGGAGAGGUAGAUUAAACAAUAAGGCCCGAGGAGGUGUGGUAUACAGUAUGACCAAUAUACCACGGCCAAGGGCUGUUCUUAAGCACGAUUCAACGCGGAGUGCCUGGACACAGUGGUAGCCGUGGUAUCUUGACCAUAUAUCACAAACCCCCGUGGUGCCUUAUCGCUAUAAUAAACUGGUUACCAACGUAAUUAGAAAAAUAUAUAUAUGUUUUGUUAUACCCGUGGUAUAUGGUCUGAUAUGCCACGUCUGUCAGUCAAUCAGAAUUCAGGGCUCGACCCACCAUGUUGUCUAACUGUCAUUAACAUGAGUAGACCUGCACAAUCACUUUAGUGUGUUGUGUCUGUAGAUCGCGCCAUGCUUUACCGAGACUCCUCCAUUCUUUUCCCAGAGUCCUCCUUGCCCCUCUUCUGAAAAGGUCAUCCUGUGUGUGCGUGUGUGUGUGUGUGUGUGUGUGUGUGUGUGUGUGUGUGUGUGUGUGUGUGUGUGUGUGUGUGUGUGUGUGUGUGUGUGUGAGUAAAUGUGCAUAUGCUUGUCAGUCCCUGUAUUUCUGCCCCAGUUACCCUGUGACCAAAAUCCCCACUGAUUAAGUUGUAGAGAGUAUGUGUGUGUUGACACAAGCAGCCUUUGAACACUCAAUGGGAAAAAGGAUUCCCCUCUAUAGGAUGCUCCCAGAGUCCCAUGGCCUCCCUUUCUCACUGUUUAACAGCCUUUCCCUUUGUCCUGCCCACUCUGAGGUGAAAAGGUCAGGGACCAAAGGUCACACGGACUCAUUUCCACUGGAACGGUCAGACAAAGAGCCUCACAAACACACACACACACACACACACACACACAAACAGGCCCUCCCUACACACACACUUCAUGAAGAGUUGGGGGGAGUAAACCAAAGAGUGUGUUCUCUUCAUUAAGAUGUUGUUUUCUUUCCUGGGUGCUUGAAGGGCCCCUUCAGG
ensembl:lncRNA